rnacentral:rRNA from 1 species
UGGGUAACCUGCCUCAAAGAGGGGAAUAGCCUCCCGAAAAGGGAGAUUAAUACCGCAUAAUAUGUUUAAGUCGCAUGACUUUAACAUCAAAGGAUUUUCUUUUAGAACUUCCACUUUGAGAUGGACCCGCGGCGCAUUAGCUAGUUGGUGAGGUAACGGCUCACCAAGGCAACGAUGCGUAGCCGACCUGAGAGGAUGAUCGGCCACAUUGGAACUGAGACACGGUCCAGACCUCUACGGGGAG